rnacentral:rRNA from 1 species
CGCCUCUUGAUUAAAUAUAAGAGGUCCAGCCUGCCCAGUGACUCUGUUUAACGGCCGCGGUAUCCUAACCGUGCGAAGGUAGCGUAAUCACUUGUUCUUUAAAUGAGGACUAGUAUGAAUGGCAUCACGAAGGUUAUACUGUCUCCUUUUUCUAAUCAGUGAAACUAAUCUCCCCGUGAAGAAGCGGGGAUAACGAUAUAAGACGAGAAGACCCUAUGGAGCUUUAAACUAAGUAACACCUGCUUUCAAACAUUUAUACUUCCGAGCACCAACAAUCAUUUCAGCUUGCUGAUUACUAGUUUUAGGUUGGGGUGACCGCGGAGCAUAAAACAACCUCCACAUUGAAUGGGGACUCCCCUGAGCUAUGAGCUACAACUCUAUGCACCAAUAUAUUGUCAUUCAUUGACCCAAUAUUUUUGAUCAACGAACCAAGUUACCCUAGGGAUAACAGCGCAAUCCGCUUCAAGAGCUCCUAUCGACAAGCGGGUUUACGACCUCGAUGUUGGAUCAGGGUAUCCCAGUGGUGCAGCCGCUACUAAAGGUUCGUUUGUUCAACGAUUAAAACCCU